rnacentral:pre_miRNA from 14 species
AGUUCUUCUUCAUGUGACUCGUGGACUUCCCUUUGUCAUCCUAUGCCUGAGAAUAUAUGAAGGAGGCUGGGAAGGCAAAGGGACGUUCAAUUGUCAUCACUGGC